CCUACGGGAGGCAGCAGUGAGGAAUAUUGGUCAAUGGCCGGAAGGCUGAACCAGCCAUGCCGCGUGAAGGUCAGUGCCCUAUGGGCGUUAAACUUCUUUUGUGCGGGAGCAAUAAUGGUCACGGGGGGCCAGACGAGAGUACCGUACGAAUAAGCAUCGGCUAACUCCGUGCCAGCAGCCGCGGUAAUAAGGGGGAUGCAAGCGUUAUCCGGGUUUAUUGGGUUUAAAGGGUGCGUAGGCUGUGAGGUAAGUCAGCGGGGAAAUGCCCCCGCUUCACGGGGUGAAGUGCCAUUGAUACUGGCUUGCUGGAAUGCGGAUGCCGUGGGAGGAAUGUGUGGUGUAGCGGUGAAAUGCAUAGAUAUCACACAGAACACCGAUUGCGAAGGCAUCUCACGAAUCCGCGAUUGACGCUGAUGCACGAAAGCGUGGGUAUCAAACAGGAUUAGAUACCCCUGUAGUC
rnacentral:rRNA from 1 species